UACGAAGGGGGCUAGCGUUGUUCGGAAUUACUGGGCGUAAAGGGCUCGUAGGUGGCCAACUAAGUCAGACGUGAAAUCCCUCAGCUUAACUGGGGAACUGCGUCUGAUACUGGAUGGCUUGAGUUUGGGAGAGGGAUGCGGAAUUCCAGGUGUAGCGGUGAAAUGCGUAGAUAUCGGGAGGAACACCUGUGGCGAAAGCGGCUCACUGGACCACAACUGACGCUGAGGCGCGAAAGCGUGGGGAGCAAACAGG
rnacentral:rRNA from 1 species